rnacentral:lncRNA from 1 species
UGGCCAUUUAAACCUGCAGAUUAGGUGAGAGGGACAGCCAAGGCUGGAGCUUCUGAUCUAAGCAAGCAGAUGAUGAGAAGAAGCUGCCCACUCUGGCUUCAGGGUCCUCGUCUAUACAAUGGGAUGAUAACAGAAACCACAUGGGGCUGCAGAGAGAGGAGGUUAAGAUCACACACAGAUGGCCUGCUCAGCGUCUGGGCCACAACAAAGGCUCCAUUUGGUUAGUCUUUUUAAAGUGAUUUUCAUCCACAUUAAAAUAAUUUUUAUUUAAAAUUUAAUAUUUUAUGAAAAUGGUGAUUAAUACUAUUAGCCAGGCCCAUCUCUCAGAGAAACAGAUCUGAGCAGAGUGGGAAAUAACUCAGAAAGAGACUCCACCAAGAACGCAAACCUCAGUCGGCCUCUCCAUCCUUCCCUUUGUUCGCACCAAGAAAUCCCCCCUGUUGGGGCAUAUGAAGAAGGUUAUAACAAGAGUCACAUUGAAAAUUAUUAGUCCUCUGUUUUCAGCUGUUGCAAGGAAAUGUUCUUCUUACCGAGUUGCCUGAAGCCAAAUUGGCUGACCUCUGGGGUAGGACUUUUCCACUGCAGUGACAGUGGCAUUCUCCUGGAAGAGGAGCAGCCUCAAGCUACAAGAAUGGGGCCAGGGGUCCCUCCCACUGGGCUACAUUGUGUUUCCUCCUCACUGUGUCCUGACCAGAUGACAGCCACUGACAGAUGCUGGAGGUGGGGAUGGUGGGUGGCAGCAGAAAUGUUGCUAAAAAACUAGCAGCUCUUGGUAGUGGAGGCGCUUUCUAGAAGCUAUGUUGGCAUUGCAGACAUGGAGGAUGGUCAGUCUGCCCCCUUCCCUAUAGCACCAGAGGCUGUUAGAAGAGGGGAUCUUAGAUUCUUUACUGCUAACCCUAACCGGUUGCAAAGAAAACAGUCUUCUUCAGCAUGUUUUUUCUGUGAAGCCAGGUCCCUUUCUUUUCUAUGUCUUCUUUCCUUCAAUCAUUCUCUUCCCCUAUUUCCCUGUCCCUUUAUGUCCUCUGGCUUUUAACUGAGUUGACUUGUCUGCAGUCCCAACAGAGGCAUAGAAUCCAAGAGCGGAACCUCUUCAUGCACAAGAGAAGCCUGAGGCCCAGAGACAGGAAGGAACUUGCCAAGGUUACACAUGACCAUCUUGCAGCCCAACAUCCAGCAAACCACAUUGGAAUACAGCAUGCCACAAUGAUGGUGCUUCAUGACCCAGCCCCAAGAAUGGAUACCUCUUUCGAAGUGUCUACCCAGAGGAGAAGCACCUCCAUCCACACCAAGAGACUGGGCUGUGUUCCUGGAAACAUGAGCCUUUAAAAGUGAAGCUAUAGUGUAAAACAAAUUCAAACAUAAAAAAGCUUUUUCUUUCACCUGAUUUUUGUUCUGGAGCUCUACAUUUAAUGAAAUAUUUAAUGAAAUAUCAGGGUGGAAGGGGCAAAGAGAGGAAAGGUUGCGCUGCUCCCAAGAAUGCACCACAUUUCAGUCCAAAGCAAAUUAAGUCAGGGGCUCUUUAGACUCAAGUCCCGGGAUGAGAAGCAGAGAGUAGGCUAACGGGUUCUGGGCUGAGCCCCAGCCAACUGUGGUAAUAAAACACAGCGCAUAGACA